rnacentral:rRNA from 1 species
GCAUGGCUCGGUGUGAAAAACUCCGGUGGUAUGGGAUGGGCCCGCGUCUGGUUAGGCAGUUGGCGGGGUAACGGCCCACCAAACCGACGAUCAGUAGCCGGCCUGAGAGGGCGACCGGCCACAUUGGGACUGAGACACGGCCCAAACUCCUACGGGCAGGCAGCAGUGGGGAAUAUUGCACAAUGGGGGAAACCCUGAUGCAGCGACGCCGCGUGAGCGAAGAAGUAUUUCGGUAUGUAAAGCUCUAUCAGCAGGGAAGAUAAUGACGGUACCUGACUAAGAAGCCCCGGCUAACUACGUGCCAGCAGCCGCGGUCAUACGUAGGGGGCAAGCGUUAUCCGGAUUUACUGGGUGUAAAGGGAGCGUAGACGUGCAAAGCAAGUCUGAUGUGAAAACCCAGGGCUUA